AUCUCACCAAAUAGUGAUGAUCCCUUGUAUACCCCUUUGUCCCAGCUGUGUGUAAUUCUCCAGUCUACUUGCAAUUAGGCACUUGAGUGUGUGUAUAUGUCUAGCACUCCCAGUGUACGCUGCUUCAUGGUCAUCAUCCAGUUGCAGAGAAUCGUUGAAAAAAACUUUUAGACCUGUUCUCACAAUCGAUAUCCAUGCAUAUAGAUUUGAUGGAGAAACUUUUAGACCUGUAUAUCCCCUGACGAAGACCAAGUCACUGAGUGCAGCAGAUAAAGAGUGACAUGCCAUGGACCACCAGAAUUAAGCUUGUGAACCACUUGUCGUCCACACAGCACAGUUAGAGAACCCCUGCUUCAGAAGACAACAAGGUUUAUGAGCUUUGCACAUUUGCACAUCAGUGGCGCAGAGUGGUAAGUGGCGGUAACACAGCCGAAGCUCUGCUCACGGCCGAAGUUCGAUUCCAAUGGAAGGAGGGAGUUGAAUCUCCGGCAAAAGGGGUCGAGGUCCACUCAGCCUUCCAUCCAUCCAUGUCUUGGUGGAGAAAAAUUCAAGACUCUUGCACUUGACUGCAUGCUGUCCUUGGGAAAGGUCAUUGGUAGCCCAUUGGUAGAGCAUCUGCCUUGCAUGCAGAAGAUCCCAGGUUCAAUCUCCAGCAUCUUCAGUUCUUCUUAUCCGAGGGGGCACCCUUGGUCAAAGCUAUGAAGACCUGUUACCAUGUCCUUCUUGUUCUUGCCUCAGUGCUCCUUCUAGAUCCAGUAUUGCCUAUGAGUGACGAGAGGGCAUCUCAUCCCUGCGGCAACUUUGCUUGAGGAAUCUUCAACUCCAGACUUACAAAGUAUGCGUUGUGUCCACUUCACCAGAUGGAAGAC